rnacentral:rRNA from 1 species
GGCUGAAGAAGGUCCCAAGGGUUCGGCUGUUCGCCGAUUAAAGUGGCACGCGAGCUGGGUUCAGAACGUCGCGAGACAGUUCGGUCUCUAUCUGUUGUGGGCGUUGGAAGCUUGAGAGGAGCUGACCUUAGUACGAGAGGACCGGGUUGGACAUACCUCUGGAGUACCUGUUGUGGCGCCAGCCGCAUCGCAGGGUAGCUACGUAUGGAUGAGAUAAGUGCUGAAAGCAUCUAAGCACGAAACUCACCUCGAGAUGAGGCUUCCUUUAAGGGCCGUUCCAGACCAGGACGUUGAUAGGCUGCAGGUAUAAAGUCAGUAAUGGCAAAGCCGAGCAGUACUAAUUGCCCAAACGCUUUCUAUU